rnacentral:rRNA from 1 species
ACGGAAGGCAGCAGUGGGGAAUAUUGCACAAUGGGCGAAAGCCUGAUGCAGCGACGCCGCGUGAGUGAAGAAGUAUCUCGGUAUGUAAAGCUCUAUCAGCAGGGAAGAAGAUGACGGUACCUGACUAAGAAGCCCCGGCUAACUACGUGCCAGCAGCCGCGGUAAUACGUAGGGGGCAAGCGUUAUCCGGAUUUACUGGGUGUAAAGGGAGCGUAGACGGUUUGGCAAGUCUGAAGUGAAAUGCGGGGGCUCAACUCCUGAACUGCUUUGGAAACUGUCGAACUAGAGUGCAGGAGAGGUAAGUGGAAUUCCUAGUGUAGCGGUGAAAUGCGUAGAUAUUAGGAGGAACACCAGUGGCGAAGGCGGCUUACUGGACUGUAACUGACGUUGAGGCUCGAAAGCGUGGGGAGCAAACAGGAUUAGAUACCCUGGUA